rnacentral:rRNA from 1 species
CCUACGGGUGGCUGCAGUCGAGAAUCUUCGGCAAUGGGCGCAAGCCUGACCGAGCGACGCCGCGUGGAGGACGAAGGCCUUCGGGUUGUAAACUCCUGUCGAGGGGGAAGAAGGUCCGCAAGGGCUUGACUGAUCCCUGGAGGAAGCACGGGCUAAGUUCGUGCCAGCAGCCGCGGUAAGACGAACCGUGCGAACGUUAUUCGGAAUCACUGGGCUUAAAGCGCGUGUAGGCGGGACGGCGCGUCGCUCUGAAAGCCCCCGGCGCAACCGGGGAACGGGCGCCGAUACGACCGUCCUCGAGGGACGUAGGGGGACCUGGAACUUCCGGUGGAGCGGUGAAAUGCGUUGAGAUCGGAAGGAACGCCCGUGGCGAAAGCGAGGUCCUGGACGUUUUCUGACGCUGAGACGCGAAAGCCAGGGGAGCGAACGGGAUUAGAUACCCGAGUAGUC